AUUAGCGAACACACCUUGGCCGCGCGGCCUCCGGCGGCGGCGCCGCAGCUUUUGUCUCCCGCCCGCCGGGCUGCGAGGUGCGGGCGCUUAGGCGCGAAGUUGCAGCUCCGACGCGCUGCUCCGGAAUGCCGGCCGACCGCGGCCGUCGGGGGGGCGCGGAGGGCGGGGUGGGCCGGGCACGCCGGCCCCGGGGCUGGGGGGCUGCAAAAGAGAGAAGAGAGACAAAACUACAGCAGAGAAUCGGACAAGGAGGGAAGAAAGAGAUUGGUGAGGGGGAGAGAGAGAGAAAGAGAGAGAGAGACACAAAGGAAGUGA
rnacentral:sRNA from 1 species